AACGCGAAGAACCUUACCUGGGCUUGACAUGCUAGCAACACCCUGAAAGGGGUGCCCUGGGACGGUAGCACAGAUGCUGCAUGGCUGGAGCGUGGUGAAAUGUUGGGUUAAGCCGCAACGAGCGCAACCCCUGCCUAGUUGCAUAUAGGGAGACUGCCCCUAAAAGGGAGGAAGGUGGGGAUGACGAAGAGCAUGGCUUACGCAGGGCUACACACACGCUACAAUGGCAGGUACAGAGAGAAAACACCCGAGAGGGUAGCCACCCAGCGAUGGGGAGCAGACCCAAAGCCUGCCCCAGUAGAUUGCAGUGCAACCCGACUGCAUGAAGGCGGAGUUGCUAGUAACCGCGUGAGCAUAACGCGGUGAAUAUGUCCGGGUUGUACACACCG
rnacentral:rRNA from 1 species